UAUUACAUUGCCCAGGUCUAUGACUUUGGCAGGUCAUGACCUUGGACUUUAAAAAAAUAAAAUAUGCACAAUUUGUUUCAUAAAAUAAAAGAAAUAGAGCCCCUUCGGUGAAAUGAAACUAGGGCUUGCAUGCCAUAAGGCAUUUGAACCCUAAAACUUGCUAUUCUGCAUGCAUCUUUUUGGUGAAGAUUUUCUCUUUUGCCAUGCACUCUCUGUGAUAACUCGAGCUUUGAACUGGGUAUGAGGGUUUGAUAUCAGACUAUUAUGCAUAAUUGGAUCAAGAACAUUCAUUGGAGCGGACCACAAAGUAAUUUUGAAUCCAGGAAAUGCUAGUCAACCUUGAAGGGGAACUUGUCAACCUUUUCAGGCAAUGGUGGGUUCCUUGUCUUUCCUUCACAUACCCCUCUUAUUUCUUAUAUGUUUAUUGUUUUAUCUUCAUGUAAAUAUCUUUCAGUUAUUCCCACGGCUUGUGUGGGUACUCAUGAAUAGUAUAUCUUUAUAAAUAAAUAUGUAUUUCAUGGAAA